rfam:Triticum aestivum genome assembly, contig: Triticum_aestivum_CS42_TGACv1_scaffold_570399_7AS
CAACUACUUCUCCAUCCGAAAAAACUUGUCCCAAACCUAUCUCUCAAAUGGAUGUAUCUAGCACUAACUUGAUGCUAGAUACAUCCAUUUAAGGGACAAGUUUUUUUGAACGGAGUGAGUAUUUU